GCUGCAGUGGGGAAUUGUUCGCAAUGGGCGCAAGCCUGACGACGCAACGCCGCGUGGAGGAUGAAGACCUUCGGGUCGUAAACUCCUUUCGACCGAGAUGAAUUCUCGCCGGCCUAACACGCCGGCGGGGUGACAGUAUCGAGGGAAGCAGCCCCGGCUAACUCCGUGCCAGCAGCCGCGGUAAUACGGGGGGGGCAAGCGUUGUUCGGAAUUACUGGGCAUAAAGGGUUCGUAGGUGGCCCGCUAAGUCACACGUGAAAUCCCUCAGCUCAACUGGGGAACUGCGUGUGAGACUGGCAGGCUCGAGUGCAGGAGAGGAACGCGGAAUUCCAGGUGUAGCGGUGAAAUGCGUAGAUAUCUGGAGGAACACCGGUGGCGAAGGCGGCGUUCUGGACUGUAUCUGACACUGAGGAACGAAAGCCAGGGGAGCAAACGGGAUUAGAUACCCGAGUAGUCAUCUUUCUAGA
rnacentral:rRNA from 1 species